CCGAAUUCUUCCACAACAGAGUUUGAUCCUGGCUCAGAUUGAACGCUGGCGGCAGGCCUAACACAUGCAAGUCGAGCGGAUGAUGGGAGCCUGCUCCCGGAUUCAGCGGCGGACGGGUGAGUAAUGCCUAGGAAUCUGCCUGGUAGUGGGGGACAACGUUUCGAAAGGAACGCUAAUACCGCAUACGUCCUACGGGAGAAAGCAGGGGACCUUCGGGCCUUGCGCUAUCAGAUGAGCCUAGGUCGGAUUAGCUAGUUGGUGGGGUAAAGGCCUACCAAGGCGACGAUCCGUAACUGGUCUGAGAGGAUGAUCAGUCACACUGGAACUGAGACACGGCCCAGGCUCCUACGGGAGGCAGCAGUGGGGAAUAUUGGACAAUGGGCGAAAGCCUGAUCCAGCCAUGCCGCGUGUGUGAAGAAGGUCUUCGGAUUGUAAAGCACUUUAAGUUGGGAGGAAGGGCAGUAAGUUAAUACCUUGCUGUUUUGACGUUACCAACAGAAUAAGCACCGGCUAACUUCGUGCCAGCAGCCGCGGUAAUACGAAGGGUGCAAGCGUUAAUCGGAAUUACUGGGCGUAAAGCGCGCGUAGGUGGUUUGGUAAGAUGGAUGU
rnacentral:rRNA from 1 species